rnacentral:rRNA from 1 species
CCUACGGGUGGCAGCAGUGAGGAAUAUUGGUCAAUGGACGAGAGUCUGAACCAGCCAAGUAGCGUGAAGGAUGACUGCCCUAUGGGUUGUAAACUUCUUUUAUAUGGGAAUAAAAUGUUCCACGUGUGGGAUUUUGUAUGUACCAUAUGAAUAAGGAUCGGCUAACUCCGUGCCAGCAGCCGCGGUAAUACGGAGGAUCCGAGCGUUAUUCGGAUUUAUUGGGUUUAAAGGGAGCGUAGGUGGAAUGUUAAGUCAGUUGUGAAAGUUUGCGGCUCAACCGUAAAAUUGCAGUUGAAACUGGCAGUCUUGAGUACAGUAGAGGUGGGCGGAAUGCGUGGUGUAGCGGUGAAAUGCUUAGAUAUCACGAAGAACUCCGAUUGCGAAGGCAGUUCACUGGACUGCAACUGACACUGAGGCUCGAAAGUGUGGGUAUCAAACAGGAUUAGAUACCCGAGUAGUC